AUUGAACGCUGGCGGCAGGCCUAACACAUGCAAGUCGAGCGGAUGAAGGGAGCUUGCUCCUGGAUUCAGCGUCGGACGGGUGAGUAAUGCCUAGGAAUCUGCCCGGUAGUGGGGGAUAACGUCCGGACACGAGCGCUAAUAACGCAUACGACCUGAGGGUGAAACUGGGGGUUCUUCGGACCUCACGCUAUCAGAUGUGCCUAGGUCGGAUUAGCUAGUUGGUGGGGUAAAGGCCUACCAAGGCGACGAUCCGUAACUGGGCUGAGAGGCCGAUCAGUCACACUGGAACUGAGACAGGGUCCAGACUCCUACGGGAGGCAGCAGUGGGGAAUAUUGGACAAUGGGCGAAAGCCUGAUGCAGCCACGCCGCGUGUGUGAAGAAGGUCUUGGGAUUGUAAAGCGCUUUAAGUAGGGAGGAAGGGCCGUAGGGUUAAACGUUGCUAUUGUGACGUUACCAACAGAAAAAGCACCGGCUAACUUCGUG
rnacentral:rRNA from 1 species